rnacentral:snRNA from 10 species
UGAUGUGAAGACAAUCUGGCUGUGACAUCUGUCACCUCAAUGAUCACAGGGUUGAUUUGGCCGGUCUGGCUGGCUAGGCGGGUGUCCCCUUCCUCCCUCACCACUCCAGUGCAUCCCUCCUGAAGCUGCAUGCUUGGUCAAAGAGGAUGACCUUCCUGAUACAGGAGGACCAUCCCUCUGUCAAGGGUAUAUGAGGAGCUAUGCUCCCCUACUAGAACCUCCAAACAAGCUCUAAAGAUCUUGGGUCUUGGAGAUUUAUAAAUCUAGUUUGUGGCCCUGACU